rnacentral:rRNA from 1 species
UGCUUAACACAUGCAAGUCGAGCGGAAAGGCCCUUCGGGGUACUCGAGCGGCGAACGGGUGAGUAACACGUGAGCAACCUGCCCCUGGCUCUGGGAUAGCCUCCGGAAACGGGGAUUAAUACCGGACAUUCACUUUCUUCCGCAUGGUGGAGGGUGGAAAGUUUUUUCGGCCGGGGAGGGGCUCGCGGCCUAUCAGCUUGUUGGCGGGGUAACGGCCCACCAAGGCGACGACGGGUAGCCGGCCUGAGAGGGCGACCGGCCACACUGGGACUGAGACACGGCCCAGACUCCUACGGGAGGCAGCAGUGGGGAAUAUUGCGCAAUGGGCGGAAGCCUGACGCAGCGACGCCGCGUGGGGGAUGAAGGCCUUCGGGUCGUAAACUGCUUUUAUAUGUGAAGAUUAUGACGGUAGCAUAUGAAUAAGGAUCGGCUAACUCCGUGCCAGCAGCCGCGGUAAU